UUCGGAUUGUAGGCUGCAACUCGCCUACAUGAAGUCGGAGUUGCUAGUAAUCGCGGAUCAGAAUGCCGCGGUGAAUGCGUUCCCGGGUCUUGUACACACCGCCCGUCACACCAUGGAAGUUGGGGGCGCCCGAAGUUGGUCGAGGAAUAGAUUACCUAAGGCGAAACCAAUGACUGGGGUGAAGUCGUAACAAGGUACC
rnacentral:rRNA from 1 species